AUCCCCUUCAGAGUAGAUGAAGGAGAGGAGACAGGUUAAAUCCCCUUCAGAGUAGAUGAAGGAGAGGAGACAGGUUAAAUCCCCUUCAGAGUAGAUGAAGGAGAGGAGACAGGUUAAAUCCCCUUCAGAGUAAAUGAAGGAGAGGAGACAGGUUAAAUCCACUUCAGGGUAGAUGAAGGAGAGGAGACAGGUUAAAUCCACUUCAGAGUAGAUGAAGGAGAGGAGACAGGUUAAAUCCCCUUCAGAGUAAAUGAAGGAGAGGAGACAGGUUAAAUCCACUUCAGAGUAGAUGAAGGAGAGGAGACAGGUUAAAUCCACUUCAGAGUAAAUGAAGGAGAGGAGACAGGUUAAAUCCACUUCAGAGUAGAUGAAGGAGAGGAGACAGGUUAAAUCCCCUUCAGAGUAGAUGAAGGAGAGGAGACAGGUUAAAUCCCCUUCAGAGUAGAUGAAGGAGAGGAGACAGGUUAAAUCCACUUCAGAGUAGAUGAAGGAGAGGAGACAGGUUAAAUCCCCUUCAGAGUAGAUGA